CGAAAUAGUUUGAGCUAAAUAAUUAUGUUUUUUAGGAAAGUGUAGGGCGUUGCAUAGCUCUGUUUUUGAUAUUUAUUUAGGGGUGAAAGGCCUUCCAAAAAUUAUGAUAUCUUGAUACCAUAAAAAAGUAUGUAGUACAUAAACAAAUAUAAAGUGUUGAGGUUUUAUAUUCCUAUAAUGUCUUAUAUAAUAUUAGUUGCCAGGUAUAACUACCUAUUAUUGGAUUUAACUUAUUAUUAGUUUAAGUUAAAAUGUAGUUACUAUGUGGUUCUGUAUAUAAUCUUUAUAUACUUUGAUAAUGUUUACAUAAGUACUUUAAUUAGACCUAAAUAAUGAACUCGGCAAAAACUUUCUUCAACUGUUUACCAAAAACAUAACUAUAUGCAUUGUACAUAUAGCUAUUUCUGCUCAAUGUGAAUAUAAAUAGCCGCAGUACCUUGACUGUGCAAAGGUAGCAUAAUCAGUUGGCUUAUAAUUGAAGUCUGGAAUGAAGGAAUAAUGUGGGGAAAUACUGUCUCUUUUAGGUUUUAGGAAAUUAUUUAGUAGGUGAAAAUCCCUACACACCAAAAAAUAGACGAGAAGACCCUAGAAAUUUUUACUAGAAAAUUAUGGUUUUACUAUUUUUGUUGGGGCGACAUAGUAGCAUUAUUAACCUACUGUUUUAUAUAAGUAUUAAUUCUGAAGCAUAAAUAAAUUACUCUAGGGAUAACAGCAUAAUAUUUAAAAGUUUGUGACCUCGAUGUUGGACUAGGAAACUAUAGUUUAGAAGACUAUUAGAUAAGCUCUGCU
rnacentral:rRNA from 1 species